rnacentral:tRNA from 1 species
AAAAUUAUAGUUUAAAUAAAAUAUUUAAUUUGCAUUUAAAAGACACAGCGGUUAAUUUUA